UUUUCUUUAAGAUCUUCAAGGUAAGGUUCUCUCACUCUCUCUCUUUCUUUCUAAUCUCCCUAAUAUCAUCUUCUCAUUUUAACUCCCCAUUUAAUUUUUUUCAUUUUUUCCCCAUUUCAGGUGAGCUUCCUCCGAUGAGCCUCUAUGGUAUAAAAAUUUCAUUUUUCCCCCAUUUAACUUGUGUUAAAUUAUGCCAAUAGGAUUUCAUUUAACUCUUGGUCGUUAUGCUUGGAAUAUAUUCUAGCAUUUGACUCUGUUGUUGUGUUAAAUCCUCUGAGCCCUUAAGUAGAAACCUGGGAAGGCCAACCUUGUAUCCUAUUUUUUUAACAUAUUAAACUUGUUCUCUAUUUUUCUGACAUCUUCUUGACUUUGCUAU
rnacentral:lncRNA from 1 species